AGAAAAUACUCAGGAAGAACAAGAAAAAGCACGGGAACAGGAAACCCUCGGCUAUUCUUGAGGAGCCGGAGAGCUUCACAGAGGAUGAGGAUGUUUUGAUUGGAGAAGGUCCUACAUUGGACAGGCCGCUUUCCCCUCUGGAAAAACUGCAUAUCAUUGUUGGAUAUGCGCUCUCCAAACGAGACAUCAGAGACGAGAUUUACUGUCAGAUCUGUAAGCAGCUGAUGAACAAUAAAAACAGAGCGAGCCGCAUGCAAGGAUGGGCCCUACUCUCCAUCUGUCUGGGGAUCUUCCCCCCGACAGAACUCUUCAUCAAGGUCAGCUUCUGCCAAUUUUCCUUCUUGAAAUUGCAUUGCGGGUGGACCCUGACAGAAAAGGCCAUGUUUAAUAAACUGAGGACCAAGGCUGUAUUUACACUGCAUGUCCCACUUCAGUCAGUGCUUAGUCCGUCAUUU